UACGGAGGAUGCGAGCGUUAUCCGGAUUUAUUGGGUUUAAAGGGUGCGUAGGCGGGACCUUAAGUCAGCGGUAAAAUUGCGGUGCUCAACGCCGUAGAGCCGUUGAAACUGGGGUUCUUGAGUGAGCGAGAAGUAUGCGGAAUGCGUGGUGUAGCGGUGAAAUGCAUAGAUAUCACGCAGAACCCCGAUUGCGAAGGCAGCCUGCCGCAGCGUUACUGACGCUGAAGCUCGAAAGCGCGGGUAUCGAACAGG
rnacentral:rRNA from 1 species